UGUAGCUGUCAUUUGAAAGCUUACAAGUAUACUAGGUUUGUAGUCGAAUGUCUGGUGGGUGAGAAGAAAAAUCUAAGAACAAGAUUUAUGAUCAAGGUUUGUCUACCCAUUGUAUUCGUGAUCAAGAGACAAAAAUACCUAACAAAGGUGGUAGAGGUAGAAAGAACUUGGAAGAAAUUUUUUUCACGAUGAUGGUGAGCUUUAUUAAUCAUCCUAAUUCUUUUUUUUUUUGUUUGUUGUUGUUCUUGAAGACAUGAAAAAGAACGGUGAUACAGGGCAACCAGGAAUCAAAUUUUCAUAGUCUGUUGCUCAUAGUUCAUAUGAGCAAAAGAAUUCAGGUAAAUACCCCCAACAUUGGGCACAGCGACACCAGCACACGUUGAAGUUUCAAAGGAUGGAUCCAUAUGUAGUUACUCAUAGGCAUGUGCUUUUAGAUAUUUUUAAGCUCAUGUCUAAACCAAAUGCAGACGAAAUUCCGAGAUCGAAUUCCACUUCAUUUUCAUGUGGGAAAUAAGAGAAUGUAUUAUCCAACCAUGUUAUUGUCGGCAGCUAUCUCUGUGAAGCAUCUCAUCAUUUCAAGAUGGCAUGAUAAUUAGUCCCAUCUGCUCCAAUUAGCCCCUAAAAUUUGUUCAAGUAUGAUUAGAGAUAGGUGCCAAACCCAUGGGGGAGAACUAUAACCUUAUUUAUUUAUUUUUCCAUUUUCAACUACGCUAACGUUAAGUUCUUCCAGCAAGUUGUUUUAUAUUGUGUUUACUGAAGACCUAAUAUAUCA